GAUGAACGCUGGCGGCGUGCUUAACACAUGCAAGUCGAACGAGAAAUGGAGACGUACACCUUCGGGCGGAAGGCUUCAUUUCGAGUGGCGGACGGGUGAGUAACGCGUGGGUAACCUGCCUCAUACAGGGGGAUAACAGUUGGACACGACUGUUAAUACCGCAUAAGACCAGAGCACCGCAUGGUUCGGGGGUAAAGACUCCGGUGGUAUGAGAUGGACCCGCGUUCGAUUAGCCAGCUGGCGGGGUAACGGCCCACCAAAGCGGCGAUGGAUAGCCGAUGUGGGAGGAUGACCGGCCACAUUGGGACUGAGACACGGACCAAACUCCUACGGGAGGCAGCAGUGGGGAAUAUUGCACAAUGGGGGAAAACCUGAUGCAGCGGCGCCGCGUGAGUGAAGAAGUACUUCGGUAUGUAAAGCUCUAUCAGAAGGGAAGAAAAUGACGGUACCUGAGUAAGAAGCCCCGGCUAACUACGUG
rnacentral:rRNA from 1 species